GCUGAAAGAAUUCUCCCGAUAAUCUGGAUUCAAGUCAACUGACAGGUAAAUGGAUGGAACUAGAAAAUAUCAUCCUGAGUGAGGUAACCCAGACUCAGAAGGACAAACAUGGUAUGUACUCACUCAUAAGUGGAUACUAGAAGUAAAGCAAAGAAUAACCAGACUACAACCCACAGCUCUGGAGAAGCUAGAGCCUUCAUCUAGUACCUGAUGGAAACAGAUGCAGAGAGCCACAGCCAAGCAUCAAGCCAAGCUCUGGAUGUCCAGUCGAAGAGAGAGAGGGAAGAGGGAUUCUAUGAGCAAGAGGCAUCAGACCAUGAUGCAGAAAGUUACAGAGACAACUGAACCAAGCUAGUGGGAACUCAUGAACUUUAGACCAACAACUGUAGAGCCUGCAUGGGACUGAACUGGGCCCUCUGCAUGGUAGCUGGGCUGUAGCCUGCAGGAGGUGUGUCUGUAAAAUCUAGGCACCGUGGAAAACACAGCAAGAUCAACACAGCCACUCAGACAUUCUGCAUGAAAGCAACAUUCACUGAUUUUAUGCAUAUGUGGAAGAACCUGUAAAGAGAAACUUUUCUUCUUUUGAGACUAGUGUCUAGAUACAAGGCUGUGAGUAGACACCUCUUUAUGGAGCGAUACAGUUUUGGAAUUUGGCUUCAUGUUUUCCAGCAGCAUAUGGAGACCAUUACACUGGACACCACUGGACAAAACGUGGGGAUCCCAGUCCCAAUGGAUACAACUAUAGUGGAGCUUCUGCAUCCAUGGCUCAGGGAACAUUGUGGAAGAGGGAGCAAAAAGAUCCUAAGAACCAGAGAGACAGGAAGUCUGCAUUGACUAUCACUACACUCUCCAGUUAUAUCACAGUAAAUAAAUAAGAGCAAUGUGCAUCA